rnacentral:rRNA from 1 species
GAUGAACGCUGACAGAAUGCUUAACACAUGCAAGUCAACUUGAACUUCGGUUUGGGUGGCGGACGGGUGAGUAACGCGUAAAGAACUUGCCUCACAGCUAGGGACAACAUUUGGAAACGAAUGCUAAUACCUGAUAUUAUGAUUAUAUGGCAUCGUAUAAUUAUGAAAGCUAUAUGCGCUGUGAGAGAGCUUUGCGUCCCAUUAGCUAGUUGGAGAGGUAACAGCUCACCAAGGCGAUGAUGGGUAGCCGGCCUGAGAGGGUGAUCGGCCACAAGGGGACUGAGACACGGCCCUUACUCCUACGGGAGGCAGCAGUGGGGAAUAUUGGACAAUGGACCGAGAGUCUGAUCCAGCAAUUCUGUGUGCACGAUGAAGUUUUUCGGAAUGUAAAGUGCUUUCAGUUGGGAAGAAAAAAAUGACGGUACCAACAGAAGAAGAGACGGCUAAAUACGUG